AAAUUUUUAGGUCACAUGUUAUUUAUUAAUCAUAUCUUAUCACUUACAUGUUAUUUUUAAUUAACGAGAUAUCCAAAUUAUUGGUCACAUUAUCAAAUAAUUCGUCACAAACUCUCUUUAAUCCCACCACCUCCCUGCACAACCCUAAUCCACCAUGGCAGCAUCACCUCCAACAAGUAUAAUUUUCAACUUCAAAAUCAUCACCACCGCAACCACAACCUCUACCAAAACCACCGCCACCAACAAGAUUCAACAAAAAAGUCACCAUCAUCGCCCAAACAACACCAACAAAUCGGAUCCACGACAAAAGUGGCACCACCACUGACACCGACACCACUACUGUGACAACAACCACCAAUGGCAAACACAUCCAACAAAAAUCACCCAAAAAAUAAUUAGCAUCGCCAUCCCCUAACGAAAAUUGCCACUAAUCACAAUAUUAUUACACUGUUGUUAAUCGCUACCACGUAUCCCGACAACACCACCACAAAAUAAAUCGAAAAUCAGAGCAGCAAUAAUAGGGAGAAUGACAACCACUACAAUGACGACGACAAUAACUAGCACCACCACUAAAAACCACCACGCAGUAGAUCGAAAAACCACGCCCAUCGCCACCGUAACGGCGACGAUGACAAUAAACACCGCUACCAAAAACCACCAAGAAGGCAAAAGAUCGAAAAACUAAACCCAUCUUUGCAACUCUACCAACCUAUGACUUGGGCUGCAGUGGCGAUGCACGUAGUUGGCGCCAUCGUUGUUGCGUAACUGCGUUGAGCGAUGUCACCGCAUCAACAUCUCUCUGAGUAGCUGUUUGCCAAAAUCUGAAGAAAAGGUGGAUAGAUCUUGCCCAAUUCCGAGCGACAAUCGCUACCGCAUCUAAUGGUAAAUGCUGUGCCCUUUGUCGCAAAGAGAGAAGGAAAAAAGAUGAGGGCUAAGAGAGAAGAGUAAGAGAUUUAAGGUUUGGGUAUUGAAAUCUGGGCGUGG
rnacentral:lncRNA from 1 species